ACUGUUUACCAAAAACAUAGCCCUCGGCUAAUAUGAAAAUAGAUGUAUAGAGGGUGAUGCCUGCCCAAUGGUUGUAUCUAAAAGCGGUUGAUAAAAGUCGACCUUGUAAGGACAAUUGAAUGGCCGCGGUAACACUGACCGUGAUAAUGUAGCGUAAUCAAUAGCCAAUUAAUUGUUGGCCAGUAUGAAUGGCGCCACGAAGGCCCCACUGUCUUAAGGAAAUUCCCAGUGAAAUUGAAUUCGUAGUGAAGAUGCUACGUCCAAUUUGUUAGACGAAAAGACCCCGUUGAGCUUUACUGGAGCACUUAUAUGGCCCCGGCCUUCCCAUGCCUGGGAACCGGCCGAAUUUAAAUGGGCGGCUUAGAUUAUGUGGCAGCCCCCCGCUGGGGCAAAUGAAACACCACUCCCCCAUGUCAAAGGGGCUAA
rnacentral:rRNA from 1 species